UACAGAGGGUGCGAGCGUUGUCCGGAAUUACUGGGCGUAAAGCGCGCGCAGGCGGUUUUCCAAGUCAGUGGUGAAAGCCCGGAGCUCAACUCCGGAACUGCCAUUGAAACUGGCGAACUUGAGUACGAGAGAGGUGAGUGGAAUUCCCAGUGUAGAGGUGAAAUUCGUAGAUAUUGGGAAGAACACCGGUGGCGAAGGCGGCUCACUGGCUCGUAACUGACGCUCAGGCGCGACAGCGUGGGGAUCAAACAGG
rnacentral:rRNA from 1 species